AAGGUCUGACCUGCCCACUGAAAUUUUUAAAUGGCCGCAGUAUUCUAACUGUGCAAAGGUAGCAUAAUCAUUAGUCUUUUAAUUGAAGGCUGGUAUGAACGGUUGGACGAGGUAUAAGCUGUUUCAUAUAAAUUUAUAAUAGAAUUUUAUAUUUUAGUCAAAAAGCUAAAAUAUUAUUAAAAGACGAGAAGACCCUAUAAAUCUUUAUAUUUUUUUUUAUUUAAAUUUUUUGGAUUUAUUUUAUUUUUAUAAUGGAGAAUAUUUUGUUGGGGUGAUGUUAAAAUUUAAUGAACUUUUAAUUAUAAAAAUCAUUAAUUUAUGAGUUAUUGAUCCAUUAGUAGUGAUUAUAARAUUAAGUUACUUUAGGGAUAACAGCGUAAUUUUUUUGGAGAGUUCAUAUCGAUAAAAAAGUUUGCGACCUCGAUGUUGGAUUAAGAUAUAAUUUUAGGUGUAGCCGCUUAAAU
rnacentral:rRNA from 1 species